rnacentral:rRNA from 1 species
AAGCGGUGGAUUAUGUGGAUUAAUUCGAUGCAACGCGAAAAACCUUACCUACCCUUGACAUGUUAGAAAAUCUUCAGAGAUGAAUUUUGUGCCCGAAAGGGAAUCUGAACACAGGUGCUGCAUGGCUGUCGUCAGCUCGUGUCGUGAGAUGUUGGGUUAAGUCCCGCAACGAGCGCAACCCUUGUCAUUAAUUGCCAUCAUUUAGUUGGGCACUUUAAUGAGACUGCCGGUGAUAAACCGGAGGAAGGUGGGGAUGACGUCAAGUCCUCAUGGCCCUUAUGGGUAGGGCUUCACACGUAAUACAAUGGCGCGUACAGAGGGUUGCCAACCCGCGAGGGGGAGCUAAUCUCAGAAAGCGCGUCGUAGUCCGGAUCGGAGUCUGCAACUCGACUCCGUGAAGUUGGAAUCGCUAGUAAUCGCGGAUCAGCAUGUCGCGGUGAAUACGUUCCCGGGUCUUGUACACACC